AGGCACAGUGUCUCCCACACCGCUCCUGUCUCAGCCUCCAGUAUUAAUGCUGCAAUAUUUUAUGUGUCCGGGGGCUAGGGACCUGAGCCCUAGGACCAUGGCUCAGGACUAUCUGGCCUGAUGACACCUUGCUGUCCAGUCCACCUGGCCGUGCUGCUGCUGCUCCAGUUUCAACUGUUAUGCCUGCGGCUAUGGAACCCUGACCUGUUCACUGGACGUGCUACCUUCUCCCAGACCUUCUGUUUGGGACUCUCUCUACCGCACCUGCUGUCUCUAACUCUGAAUGAUCAGCUAUGAAAAGCCAACUGACAUCUACUCCUGAGGUGCUGUCCUGUUGCACCCUCGACAACCACUGUGAUUAUUAUUAUAUGACCCUUCUGGUCAUCUAUGAACAUUUGAACAUCUUGGCCAUGUUCUGUUAUAAUGAGGACUGGCCACCCCUCAGAUCCUGGUUCCUCUCUAGGUUUCUUCCUAGUUUCUUCCAUUUCUAGUGAGUUUUUCCUAGCCACCGUGCUUCUACAUCUGCAUUGCAUGCUGUUUGGGGUUUUAAGCUGGGUUUCUGUACAGCACUUUGUGACAUCGGCCAAUGUAAAAAGGGCUUUAUAAAUAGAUUUGAUAGAUAUGAUUGAUACAGGCAACCUUCCUAUCUUAGUUGCUGGAGAGGAAGGACACCAUUCAGGGAUUUCACCAUGGGGCCAAUGGUGACUUUAAGACAGUUAAAGUUGAAUGGCUGUUAUAGGAGAAAACAGAGGAUGGAUCAACAACAUUGUCGUUACUCCACAAUACUAACCUAAAUGAGUGAAAAUAAGGAAGCUUCUACAGAAGAAAAAUAUUCCAGAACAUGCAUCCUGUCUGCAAUAAGAAAUUCCCUUUAUGUUCUGAAUACAAAGUGUAAUGCUUGGGGCAAAUCCAACACAUCACUGAGAACCACGCUUCAUAUUUUCAAGCAUGAUGGUGGCUGCAUCACGUUAUGGGUAUGCUUGUCAAUAUAUGAGAAAAUUAUUUUAUCACUGUUCUGCAACAUAUGUUUAUCACUGUUCUGCCCCCGUCCCCACAGGAGGUCUUUUGCCUUUUGGUAGGCUGUCAUUGUAAAUAUUUUUUUUCAUGUUUUUUUUUUUAAACUGACUUGCCUAGUU